rnacentral:rRNA from 1 species
GACGAACGCUGGCGGCGUGCUUAACACAUGCAAGUCGAACGGAAAGGCCCUGCUUUUGUGGGGUGCUCGAGUGGCGAACGGGUGAGUAACACGUGAGUAACCUGCCCUUGACUUUGGGAUAACUUCAGGAAACUCGGGCUAAUACCGGAUAGGAGCUCCUGCUGCAUGGUGGGGGUUGGAAAGUUUCGGCGGUUGGGGAUGGACUCGCGGCUUAUCAGCUUGUUGGUGAGGUAGUGGCUUACCAAGGCUUUGACGGGUAGCCGGCCUGGGAGGGUGACCGGCGUCAUUAGGACUGAGAUAGGGAGCAGACGGCAACGGGCGGCAGUAGGGGGGAAUAUUGCGGAAUGGGCGGAAGCCUGAUGCAGCAGCGCCGCGUGCGGAAUGCCGGCCUUCGGGUUGUAAACCGAUUUCGCCGGUGACGAAGAGUGAGUGACGGUAAUUGGUAAAGAAGCACCGGCUAACUACGUG